GACGAACGCUGGCGGCGUGCUUAACACAUGCAAGUCGAACGGUGAAGCGAGUGCUUGCACUCGUGGAUCAGUGGCGAACGGGUGAGUAACACGUGAGUAACCUGCCCAUCACUCUGGGAUAAGCACUGGAAACGGUGUCUAAUACUGGAUACGACCAACCCUUGCAUGGGGUGUUGGUGGAAAGAUUUAUCGGUGAUGGAUGGACUCGCGGCCUAUCAGCUUGUUGGCGGGGUAAUGGCCCACCAAGGCGACGACGGGUAGCCGGCCUGAGAGGGUGACCGGCCACACUGGGACUGAGACACGGCCCAGACUCCUACGGGAGGAAGCAGUGGGGAAUAUUGCACAAUGGGCGAAAGCCUGAUGCAGCGACGCCGCGUGAGGGAUGACGGCCUUCGGGUUGUAAACCUCUUUCAGCAGGGAAGAAGCGAAAGUGACGGUACCUGCAGAAGAAGCACCGGCUAACUACGUG
rnacentral:rRNA from 1 species